rnacentral:rRNA from 1 species
UACAGAGGAGCCAAGCGUUGUCCGGAUUGACUGGGCGUAAAGCGCACGCAGGCGGUCUUGCGCGUGGGGUGUGAAAUCUGGCCGCUUAACGGCCAGGCGCCAUCCCAUACGGCACGACUGGAGGGCUGCAGAGGUCGAUGGAAUUGCCGGUGUAGUGGUGAAAUGCGUAGAGAUCGGCAGGAACACCCAGGGGGAAACCAGUCGGCUGGGCAGCACCUGACGCUGAGGUGCGAGAGCGUGGGGAGCGAACCGG